rnacentral:rRNA from 1 species
GUCUAUGGCCAUACCACCCUGAACACACCCGAUUUCAUCUGAUCUUGGAGCUAAGCAGGGUCAGGCCUGGUUAGUACUUAGAUGUGAGAGAGGUGGAAACUAAGGCUCAGAAGGGU